GUUUUCCCUAGAGUUCCCUUGGACACUUCAUUGAGGACUCUAUUAUCAUAUCCAAAGUUGAUUAUAGUCCAUGCUGAAGUGUUUGGGGGAACUCCUGGUCAUAC
rfam:Cajanus cajan CcLG06_517, whole genome shotgun sequence.